rnacentral:rRNA from 1 species
AUUGAACGCUGGCGGCAUGCUUUACACAUGCAAGUCGAACGGCAGCGCGGGCUUCGGCCUGGCGGCGAGUGGCGAACGGGUGAGUAAUGCAUCGGAACGUGCCCAGUAGUGGGGGAUAGCCCGGCGAAAGCCGGAUUAAUACCGCAUACGACCUGAGGGUGAAAGCGGGGGACCGAAAGGCCUCGCGCUAUUGGAGCGGCCGAUGUCGGAUUAGCUAGUUGGUGGGGUAAAGGCUUACCAAGGCGACGAUCCGUAGCUGGUCUGAGAGGACGACCAGCCAAAACGGGACUGAGGCAACGGCCAGGCCCCUUAGGGAGGGCGCAGGUGGGAAUUUUUGGAAAAGGGGGCAACCCUGAUCCAGCCAUGCCGCGUGCGGGAAGAAGGCCUUCGGGUUGUAAACCGCUUUUGUUCGGGAAGAAAUCCUCUGGGCUAAUACCCCGGGGGGAUGACGGUACCGGAAGAAUAAGCACCGGCUAACUACGUG